rnacentral:lncRNA from 1 species
AAAGGCAAAAUAGAAAUAAAAGAAGCAGAAUAAAACAUAUUCUACCAAAACAAUCAGCAAUCCAGAUCGGAGCCACCCAUAGCCAAAUAAAAUUAGUAUGAAAAAAAAGGCUUGAACUGUUAUAGCACCGUUUAAAGGAUGCGACACGAUAAAACUCUCAUGGGAACGAUGAUCAUUGGACGUAUCGAUACAAUUUCAAAUUGUCAUCCUCGACACCUAAAAGGCCUCUCUUGAAGUAGAGAUACAUAUCAAUAACAAACAAGAAGACACGAUGGCUGUAACCUCCUUAGUACCAACCAUCAAUUAAAAUAAACCCAAUCAUAACUAAAUAAAGAAAUCUCAAAACAAAAUUAAAACAAACCUCCCAAAACAAAAUAAAAUUAUACAUAGUUAGAGGAGAAGAUUCUAAAGUAAAAACCUCUUAUCCGCCUUACUGGUUGCUUCUCUCACUCUUUGUCUCUUUGCUUCUCUACAUCGAACAAUUUCUUCUCCCUUAUUGUGAAA